AAGACUAUACUUUCAGGGAUCGUUUCUAUAGUUUGUUACUAGAGAGGUUUCCCUGACGGUGAAGAGCACCCGAAACCACGAGGAGGAGACGCAGUGUUCUCUCCUGAGCAUGAAGCUGGCUUUUGGUGCUGCUUUUGCAACUGCCAAUAGCUAUUGGUGAUCUUUCUCCUCUUCCUCUGGAAGAGUAAAAGGGAGAGAACACAGUCUGACUGGU